UAUGAUUCCACAGGUGGCCUAAAGUGUGGCCCUGUUUGGCAAUAGGCUUCGAUUCAUCAAUUCUUCAGAAAGCCCUGUCAGAAGGUCCAGAUUAUACCGAGAUCAUUAAAGUCAAUGGAUUUCAGAGCGAUUAAAAGAAAGCUAAUACCAUAAGACUUACCAGGAUUGCCUUCGUGAUGUCAAACUCGUAUUUUCCAACAGCGAUCAGUAUAAAUUUGUUAAAAUGUUCGAUAACUUUUUGAAAAACUCACAAGAUAGCUGCCCAUUCAUUGGACGUGCUGACAUCUUCGAGUUGAAUUGUGAAAGAACCUGUUAAAAGAUCUGAUGCGGUAAGAAGACAUCUGGCCAUUUAUUGAACCUGUUGACACUUCCGAGUUAUAAUGUUCGAUAACUUUUUGAAAAACACACAAGAUAGCUGCCCAUUCAUUGGACCUGUUGACAUCUUCGAGUUGAAUUGUGAAAGAACCUGUUAAAAGAUCUGAUGCGGUAAGAAGACAUCUGGCCACUUAUUCAACCUGUUCACAUUUCCGAGUUGAAACCGUGCGAGAAGCUGUUAAAAGAUCGCAUGCGCCAUGAAGACAACUGGCCAUUUAUUGAACCUGGUGACAUCUCCAAGGCAAAGCUAUAGCUUCAAAAUCAUCUUCAUUGGCAUCUAGAGUUAAUGCAAUCUCUUCAAGAUUUUCUUCCAGCCAUCUUUCGAG
rnacentral:lncRNA from 1 species